GUUCAUUCGAAAUCAUUCAUCGAUAAAAAUUAAUUCAUCAGUAAUUGAAGGAAAUGCAAGGAAGAGGACUCUCUGGAAAGGUUACGUAAUACUGCAACUGACAUGAUGUUACAUUUGGAAGUGGAAUUGAAUUGGAUUACUUUGAACAGCUGUAUCCAUGUCUUGGCUCAUCUGGUCCCCCACUCAGC